rnacentral:misc_RNA from 1 species
GUGAGUCAUCGAAUCUUUGAACGCACCUUGCGCUCCUUGGUAUUCCGAGGAGCAUGCCUGUUUGAGUGUCAUUAAAUUCUCAACCCCUCCAGCUUUUGCGAGUUGUGACGGGCUUGGAUGUUGGGGGUUUGCGGGCCUGUAAAGGUCGGCUCUCCUGAAAUGUAUUAGCGGAACCGUUUGCAGUCCCGUCACUAGUGUGAUAAUUAUCUACACUGUGAUGAUUGCUCUCUGGCUAGUUCAGCUACUAACCGUCCACUGUUGGACAACACUUAAUGAACUUCUUGACCUCAAAUCAGGUAG